rnacentral:lncRNA from 1 species
AUGGGGUGGGGGGGGCGGGAACCCAAACUCCUCAACCCCAAACUUCAAAUUUCAAGUCAGGGCAUGGAGGUGCUGUCAUGCAGCUGUGGCGGGAUCCUGAGGAGAACACGGAAUUUUCUUGGCUCUCUGCUGGCAGUGCCAGGGCGGUGUUUGGCACCUCUGCAGGGCUGGCGGUGCCCCUGUCCCUCACCCAGGCUGGCGGUGCCCCCGUCCCUCUCGGGGGAUCCCGGGCUGCAGCAGCUCCUCCCCAGGUGCAGGAGGGAGGGAAGGAAGGAUGUGUUUUAUCAAAGUCAGUCCCUGCUGUUUGAGUUCCUGCUCUGCCGCUCGAUAUCAUCUCAAAACCAACACGGGAGCUGUGGUGGGAUCCUCAGAAGAACAUGGAAUUUUCUUGGCUCCCUGCUGGCACUUCCAGGGAUCCAGGAGCAUCCACAGUUUCUCUGGGAAUCUCUUCCAAGGUCUCGCCACCCUCACUGGAGAGAAUUCAACCUAAAUCCAAUCUAAAUCCUUCUCCAGAGCCCCCCUGAGAUGAUGUUCCCUGGUCUCUCUUCAUUCUGAAAAAUCCUUCUCUCUUCAUUUUGAAAAAUGUCCAUUUUUUGCUCCCACCAAAGCCUUUCCUGCCGCCUCUCUCCCUUUCCAUGGAUUUCCUCCUCUGCUUCCUCCCCUCUCCUCUCCCACUUUCCCUUGCUUGAAAUCCAUGGAAAAAAAUGUGCAGCCUCCCCGAGAGAACCCCUUGGCAAAGUCAUAACUUGUUAAGCACCGUAAUUAAAAUAUUUCUCUCAUUAACUUGG